GUAUAUGCCUACACCAUAGCGUUAAUGCACCAGAUCCCAUUAGAACUCUACAGUUAAGUGUGCUCGGGCUAGAGUAGUACUGAGAUGGGUGACCAUCCGGGAAGUCUUAGUAUUUUACAUG
rnacentral:rRNA from 1 species